ACCGAAGAGCCAUAGCCUUGUUAGUAAUAACAGCAUUGUUACGUUUUCUCUUAGUAGGAGAAAUGAAGUUAGCCAGGAACAGAGCACUUGACAAUAAAGUACACAAAGGAAUGUUUCCUGAACCAAACAAGAAAAAGUAGUGAUUGGGUACUAAUAAAGAAUCUUCACAUGUACUGAUUGCCCAAUAAGCAAGUGUAAUUCUAAGGUCACUAUGUAUGAUAACUACAUCCAAAGUGAGUUUGUGGCUUGAGGCAUAAUAUGUAUAUCUGAUCAUGUCAAUAUAUUAAGACGACAUUGAAAGUAUGAACUACUUCAAAAUAAUUUAGGCUGCCUGUCAGGACUUCAAAACCAUCAACGACUGAGGAUUUCUAUACAGCUGCCUGGGCGACUGUGGUUGUCAUGUCAACAUGGAAUGUUUCAUGCUUACUCAUCCCAAAGUACACAUGCACCCGCAUCCUUCUCCAAGGUCUCCAGGACAAAGGGCACCAGAACUCAAGCCUGGGGGCCCCACCCUAAUGACUUUAUCAUGCCCAUAGGAUCCACCCUGAGACACCAUAAAGGGAUCAAGUUUUCAUUUAACACUUUUACGAUACAAUCACAUCUCAAUGCAUGAAUUCCUUGGGCUCACACAAUCACCAGUCACUAAGACCAAAUUCUAAAAUAUGAACCUCAGAGGAUGAACCAUUAUUCAGACCACCAUGUCUUAGACAUCUGGGCCUCCGUUUUCUCAUAUUUGAGAUGGAUGUAAUGUACUUGCACCUACUUUGUAAGAUUUCUGUGUUUUUGAAAUG